GGGCGGAGAACGGCGGGUCAGAGAGAAGGCAGCCCGGUCCCCCUCAGUGGAAGGGAGUGGCGGUGGGCGGAGGGUGUUGAGGGGACGGUGCCAGCGGCUUGCGGGAAGCCGGGCGAUGCGGGUAGAACGGUGGAGGAGAGGGCAGGGAGGCCGGGGCCUCCCGUGGAACGGAACCGGGGGGUUGGGAGGCUGGGGGCGGCCUGUGUGAAGGGGGCGGGGAGGGAAAGGCUCGCGGCCAGUAGAUGCAGGAGGGAGGAGGGCCUAGAGGGGCUCCGGGCUGGCGGCCUCUGUGAGGAAGGGGAAGGAUAUGGAACCAAGAUCCUUUAAAUCCUGAUGAACUCAUCCGUAAAGCAGAUGCCCAAAGGAUGAUAGUAAGCUUACUGUGACAUAACUCCCGGAGCCGCAGCACGAGCCUUGUGAACCUUGGAAGCCCGUUUUCCGCGCAGUCACUAACUCGCUUAGUCACCCUGUGUAAAAGUUAUUCUGGGAUGACACCUGCCUGGGAAGUCUCACCUUUCCCCCCACCUCCUCCUGUCUGCGUAUUGUUCUGUAGCACCCCGUGCGCACCUUGAUUGUAGCGCUUAAGGUGUCCGUUUUAUUUACUAGACAGGGAUUGAACCAUUGUGUCCCAACCACCUAGAACCUGGGUCAUAGUGUAAAGCUUAAUCAAUGUAAUAUAAAUGGGGGAAUUAAAUUCAUAAUUGUUUAAUGUUUAAGUUUUGUCUUAAAUUUUAAAAGUAAAUGUUGGGGAUGGAGGGGAGGGACAGAGGGAGUCUAAAGACACCAGUAAUUAAUGAGUUUUUAUAAAAUAAGUAGUGUUGGCCGGGCGCAGUGGCUCAUGCCUAUAAUCCCAGCACUUUGGGAGGCUGAGGCUGGCGGAUCACCUGAGGUGAGGAGUUGGAGACCAGCCUGGCCAACGUGGUGAAACCCUGUCUCUACUAAAAAUACAAAAAUUAGCCCGGCGAGGUGGCAGGCGCCUGUAAUAAAUCCCAGCUACUCAGGAGGCUAAGGCAGGAGAAUCUCUUGAACCCAGGAGGUAGAGGUUGCAGUGAGCCAAGAUGGUGGUAUUGCACUCCAGCCUGGGUGACAAGAGCGAAACUCCAUCCAAAAAAAGAAAAAACAUAGUGUUGGGGGACAAUUCUCCAUGGGUCACCUGCACUUUCCCGUGUUUUGUGAGCAGAGACACUGACUGCCUUUGUUCUGGAGUACUAUGAUAGCUGGUAUUUUUUAAGAUGUGAUUAACAGUUAAAUUAGACUUGAGUAAAGCAGUUGGUCCUCCACAAGGUGGGUUGGCCUCAUCCCGUCAAGGGAAGGUCAUAAGAGAAAAGACUAAGGUCCUCUGAGGAAGAAGGAAUCCUGCCCCCAGACUGCCUUCAGCUCUUUCCUGGGUCUCUAACUUGACCUACAAAUUUUAGGCUUGCCAGCAUUAUAAAUAAAGUUUUGGUGCCGCAAAAGAAAUAGCACUCAACUAUAAAAUUUUCUUUUUUCCUUCUCAGCAAGGCAAUUUACUUCUAUAGAAGGGUGCGCCCUCACAGAUGGAGCAAUGGUGAGCACACACCUGGACAAGGGAGGCGAAGGGGUUUUUAUUCCUGACGCUUGUGGCACCUGCUGCUGUGUCCUUCCCCUGUUGGCUAAGGUUAGACGGCACAGGCUAAACUAAUUCUGAUUGACUAAUUUAAAGAGAGUGACCGGGUAAGUGGUUUGGUGGGAAAAAUAGUUAUGGCAGAGCAGGAAAUCGGAAUGAGUCAGGGUGGAGAAUGAGUCAGGGCAGAGCAGGUAAUCAGAAUGAGUCAGGGUGGAGCAGGUAGUUGAAAAAGAUUGCUUUACGAGGAAGUUAAGCUUUUUUUGUUUUGUUUUGUUUUUUUUAAUUGAGACAGAGUCUCGCUCUAUAGCCUAGACUGGAGUGCAGUGGCGGCAUCUCGGCUCACUGCAAGCUCUGCCUCCUGGGUUUGCUCCAUUCUCCUGCCUAAGCCUCCCGAGUAGCUGGGACUACAGGUGCCCGCCACCACACCCGGCUUAUUUUUUGUAUUUUUAGUAGAGAUGGAUUUCACCGUGUUAGGAUGGCCUCCAUCUCCUGACUUCAUGAUCUUCCCGCCUCGGCCUCCUGGGAUUACAGGUGUGAGCCACCGCAUCUGGCCAGAAGUUAAGUUUAAAAGUAGAAGACAAAGAAUUGAACAUACUGACAUUGAUUCUUCGAAGAGAAAUUUAGAACUCAUAUCUAACACCAGCCUCCAAUUGAUUGAGCCAAUUCCUUCAAAUAAAUCUCUCUCUGCAAUAUGCAUCCUAUUGGAUCUGUUUCUGUAGGGAAUUCUGAUUAAUAUACCCUUUCAAGGAACAGCUUUGGAAGAUUAAGAUAAUUGUCUGCUUCUGGAACAAAAGACAGGUUUGUUGCUGUUCAGUUUAAUAAAGAGAGUGUCACCUUCUGGGGCAAAGGCUGAGCAUGUUGGCUUGCAGUUCACUGUUCAAGACUGGGCUUUCCUAAACUUGGUGUACCUGGGCGGUAAAACCAAUCACAUGUGCAGCAUCCACCUGGACUGUCCCCAUGGGACUUGGAAGGGAAAGGGGAACCGAAGGGAAUAUGAAGCCCAGGCUACUGGCUGUGCUGUGAAAAAUAAAGCCCUUUCUCUCUGACUCAGGUGUUUUCUGCCAUCAUUUGUGGAGCUGUUAGAUGAGCUUGUUAGCUUGCAAGUAGGGUAAAAUCUAACAUGAUUCUGAAUAGUAUCUAGCCAUACUAUACCCAGCUCAUAGCAGUUGUUCCAAGAAAUAUUUGUUGAAUUAAUUAGUGAAUACCGGG
rnacentral:lncRNA from 1 species